GCCUAGAUAGCUCAGUUGGUUAGAGUGUGGUGUUAUCCUAGAUAGCCAGUGGUUAGGUGGUGUUAAUAAUGCCAAGGCUGCAGGUUCAAUCCCUGCACGGGAAAGCUGCA